rnacentral:rRNA from 1 species
UUCCUACGGGAGGCAGCAGUGAGGAAUAUUGGUCAAUGGUCGGGAGACUGAACCAGCCAAGCCGCGUGAGGGAGGAAGGUACAGAGUAUCGUAAACCUCUUUUGUCAGGGAACAAAGACUGGGACGCGUCCCCGGAUGAGUGUACCUGAAGAAAAAGCAUCGGCUAACUCCGUGCCAGCAGCCGCGGUAAUACGUAGGUGACAAGCGUUGUCCGGAUUUACUGGGUGUAAAGGGCGCGUAGGCGGGAUAGCAAGUCAGUCGUGAAAUGCCGAGGCUUAACCUCGGAGCUGCGAUUGAAACUGUGA